rnacentral:lncRNA from 1 species
UCGGCUUUGUUUCGGGAGUUUACCGCCCAAGAACACCUUGGGGAGUAAACUCCUAAAUCUAGUGAUUUAGCCUUCUAAAUCAUGUUAUAAACACAUAUAAAGCUUUCUAACACUACUAGAAAGAGGUACUCACGAUUUGGGAUAAAAACCCGAAGAUCCGUGAGAGAGAAAAUGGCUUUUCUCUAGUUGGAAAUGCGAAUAAUGAAUGAAUUUGGUUCAGAAUUCUAUUUAUAGUCCUGAGAUAUUUUUGACAAAAAAUAUUUUUAUUCCUGAAAUGAUUUCUAAUAUAAUCGAGUGUUGGAAUAACAGUGUUGCACAAAAACCUAGUGCAACCACUCUCCUGAUAUCUCCUUAAGUGUAAAUCCUGAAAAACUGUCAAACAUAUACCCGAAGUCUGGAAUUUCACUAAAACUGUUCUAUGCUCUAUUGUCUUGAUAUGGUUUGUUCAUAAUGGAAAUUCCGGGUUGUCACAUCAUCCCCCUGUUAAAGGGAAUUUCGUCCCGAAAUUAGAAUUUAGACAAUUAAGUAUGUACGAAUGAUCAAGUCGUUAUGUGAACUUCCUAAUCGAUUGUUUCUCGCACUCCUAAGUGAAAUCAGGUUCUCGGUUGGUAUCCCAACGAACCUUCACUAAUGGGCGACGGCGUUGCUUCGUCCGCUUGGCCACUCGGUCGAGGGUCACUACGGUCCUAAUACAAACGCAAGGAUCUCGUAAAUCUCGAUCUCGUCGAGAGGGAUUACGAAAGUCCUAACGGAAAGAUACUGUUUCAAGUUCGAGACGCGAAGGGGAAAAUGUACGUUACUGAGUUCGCGGAGUAGGUCUAGUUUGUGAAAUGCAGGACCGAUUCUGGUAAGAAUCUCGAAGGUCCUAAGUAUAUCGGAUUUUAGCUUUCCACACUUUACAAAGCAUAUUAAGCCGUUCCUAGAGUGAGGUUUCCUAAAGAAUUUGGUCUCUCACUUGGAAUUCCAAAGGUUCUUUCUCUCGCUUACUUCCCAGUCAAGGGCCAUCCCUUGCUAGGUCAAAGCUGAAAGGGUUUCUGAAAUUUGUGGGGAGUUACGAAUGGACUAUGAUAGUAGGUCGGUAAGACCUAGAAUUUGGCGAAUNUGCCGACAAAUUCCCAACGGUUUUGGAUAAUUUGACAGAGUACUCAAGAAUUUCCACAACACUAAAAGUGUGUCUCAGGAAAUUUGACUCUAAAUUCCAAAACUCUUGUUCAGAGAACUUUGCGGAAAGUAUCUCCGAGGGUAUUGUUUCUUUGGGUUCUUUCUUACUACAAGGGUAGAUAAGUAGUCAUCAUAUGGAGAAAUGACGAACUGACCCCAGUAAGAAAGGCGUACUCUACUUAUUCAGCUCAUGAAUACUAUGGUCGUAUUGGUCCUAUCCGAGGGGUAUCACUACGGACUCGAAGUGUCCGCAUCGAGUUCGGAGGGUAGUCUUUAGGACAUCCUUCCCUAACACUCGAACUGGUGAUAUUCGGAUCUCAGGUCCAUUUCUGAAGAAAUUAUUUCCCUGUGUUUGCCCAAUCGAUUCGUCUAUGCGAGGCAGAGACAACGAUUUCUAUAGGAAAUCUUAAUGAAGUCUCUGGUCUUCGAGGUACAUAAAAUGCACUCCAUUGUCUUCAGUCGUCGAGGUACAUAAAAUGCACUCCAUCGUCUUCGGUCGUCGAGGUACAUAAAAUGCACUCCAUCGACUUCUGGUAAGAAUAAGACUGUAGCUCUCAAGGGUGAGAAGCCUGGUCUUCCAAUUCUAUUAUUGAGUAGUUCGUUGUGUUGUCUGGGCCGUUCUUGUAUCUUCCGUAGGUGUUUAGACUGUAAGGUGAUCUGGUUAUAAGAGUCAUACUGGGUUCUAGUUUGCUCCUAUGCCGAUGUAAUUACUCGUACUCCUGGACAGUUUCCGUCCUGAAGUUCAUAUUAGAAUUCAUACGUGAUUCAAUGAUCACAAUUUCGUGUAUACGAGUCGUAUAUAAUUAAGACUGAAAAGGUAUCGAGUAACUGAUUCUUCCUUAAUCUCACAUCCCAUCGAGGGAAAAGAAGUUAAAGUGGAAUCAUCAAUUCUAAACCUAUAGAACAUUGAUUAUAUAUCACUCUCUUGUAUACCUUCUUCAGUGAUAGAUCAACCGUAUGAAUCCUGGAAUUGAACUUGACGUACUGCAUGAGUAAUACUAUGGGGAUUCCUUCGGAAAGGAAAAGAACUAUAAGGUACUCCUUGUAUGAGUACUUCGGUGUUCUGAUAUAACGGCUUUGCUAAAAGACAAUUUCUGAGAAAGAGAUGUACUUAUGAAGCUGGUAUUGCAAGGAUCAAAUUUACUCGAGUCGUAUGAUAAAGUCGGAAACAUAUGGAAACUAAAGGCAUUAGAUUUGAACAUAAGGCAUUACAGACAAAACACAACAAUGCAACCAUUAUAGAGUUACUGAACUUAGGAUUUACUACAAGACUAUUGUUGCGAACAAGGUAUAGUACAAAAGACAAGUAUACGCAGCACGAGUAUCCCUAAACGGACGGGAUCUCGCAAAAGGUAAGACUCUGGUUGCACUAGUUUUGAGAUGGUUCAUAAGUCUGUUACAACGAAACGCCUAAAUUACAUUAACGUGGGUCCGGAGUAGACUCUCCUACGACAGUGGUCGGUAGCAUACUACCAUGUGUGCCAGCAUUUGCUGCCUCUGGGCAGUCCCUUUUGUAAUGACCUACCUUGCCACAACCGUAGCAAGUUUGGUUCACACCGGUGUUUGGCACUUGAGCAGGCUGAGCUGUUGGAGUCUUGCAGUAACGGGCUGUAUGCCCCUUCCUGUUGCAGUGUGAGCACUGCAUCUCCCUACAAGGUCCAUGGUGGUGAUAAUUGCAUUUGAUGCAUUUUGGGAGUUUUCCAGCAUAAAGUUUGGCUGGUUUGGGGACCAGUGGGACGCCCGAAGGGAUGGUAGUAGAAGGUACUGAUGUCGUAGCUCUGAAGCUUGUUACUGGUGGUUGUUUCCUGUUCGCCCUUCGAAACCACUUGUCCUUAGAGUUAGUCGAAGACUUUCGCUUGAUACUUGGAUUGGAACUAUUGUUAACAAUCCUGCUAACACUUGCGUCGUUAGCAUUCAGGUGGGUCAGAAUAGCUGACACGGCAGCCGAGACUGCAGCUUGAAAGGUAGUUGCAUCAAUCUGAAGAGUUGGCGUUUGGUUGAUGGGCUGAUUGUCUUUCUUGCAUGACAUGAUUCUGUUACACGGAAGGAAACGAAUUUGUGAGCGAAAAUGGUCGAAUCUAAACGUAGUUCGAUCGCUCAUGUAAACAAUAGAAGUAUGUUCUCUAAGGUUCGACCUACAUCCCUAUGAUGUAGUCCUAGUAUGGAAUGGAAGUAUGUUCACGAAGGUUUGACCUACAUCCCUAUGAUGCAGUCCUAGCAAAGAUUGGAAGUAAGUUCAUGCAAUGGUCUGAAGAUGUUUGUCGUUCUAGCCGAGGUAUCAAUGGUUGGCGAAUAACGUGAUCCAACCACUAAAAGAGACUCGGAGAUGGCUCUGGGGUCAAAUUGCUAUAGUCCAAUGACUUGACUAGAGCAUGUCUCGAAUAGACUCUAAUGAAAGAAUGAUAAGAGUAUUCGAAUAAAGAAUGACACAGAAGUUAGCCGACUGUCAAUAUCUUUGAUAUUCAUGACGUACAAGUUCGAGAAAAUGACCUUGUAAAAGGUCUUACAUCAUAACCAGAGAAGAUGGUUCCUGACAGUAAAAAUACCUAACUAAAGUACUUACAGUACAAGAUAGUUUCAUAGAAAAUGCCUCAUCGGGCAUAGACAGGAACACGAUUCCUUAAUAACAAGGAAUAUAACGUAACGCAUCUACUACUGGCGACGGUCAUCCCUCUGGUGAACUCCCAGUUCAGCCAGUUGGCGUUCCACAUCAAGUAGGUGUCUUUCGUACACUCUCUGGCGUACUCGAAGUUCCAUGAUUUCCGCUCGUGAUUCAGCCAGUGCUUGCAGCAGGGUUUGAUGGUCUCUCAGACCCCUCACGAGCAUGUUCAAGGCGACUGGUGCAAAGCAUAUGCAUUCCCCCAUUUGUAUCGACUUCUGCGAUACGUUGUAGAGCUGUCCUGCCCUGAAUUUCGUUUCGGGCAACUCUUCGGAUCAGAAUUGGCAUGAUUCUGUCUUUUGAGCCCCCAUUGCUCAGGUCAUAGAAGCUUUGGUCACCAUUAAAUGGCAUGGGCUGAUCUUGUCCUUGGCUCCAUGUUUCCAAACAUUCCACCCACUCAGGCGUCGGGCCAUGAAAAGCCGGACGAGGGUUAGGAAUCGGAAAGGGAGCUGCCUGGGGUAGGUUCUCAACCUCGGGUUCGGGAUGGCAUCGUCUGAAAGGUCUUCAGCAUGGUGAUCAUUCAAAGGGAUUGGAUGAUCAUUAAUUUGGUUCUUCUCCAAACCAUCCAGCAAUAACCGUGUUUGGAAGGAACAGGUUGUCAUGGGGAUGGAAUCCAGCCAUGUUAUCUAUGCGAGAAUUUGGGGUAAGAAAAUAAUUAUUAGACGAACUAUCUAGAUAAUUAUUUAGGAAAUCUUCAUUAGUUCCAUCGCUAUUUGUAAAGUGCAUACCAGUUAUAUGUAAUCAACACAGGAUAGGCCUUCGAAUAAGUGACCUCAACUCCAAAUUCACAAGGAAUAAGGGUAAAGCAAAAAUUUCACCGAUUCUAAGUCUAUAACAUCCUAGUUACAUAUAAAUUUAGCGCAUCCACUUAGCAAUUAUCAACUUAGGAAUGAAGAUUCCAUUUUAGUUCUCAAGUAUAAAUUACUUAUAGUAACACAAAACACCCCUAUGGUAUUUUAGACUUAGGUUCUGUUAUAAUGUUCUCGUUGUGGUAUUGUUGGUAAGUUUUUAGACUUGUUUCCAUAUCACAACCAUUCUUGAGCAUGUGCUAAUCACUAUUUGGAACAACAUAGUUGAUCAGGCUAUGCCACUCCCAAGACUAACCAUACAUCCCCGAGCUUACAUGUGAUAUUCAAUAAUCGUAAUACUUUUGUUCUUCUUAUUGUGACACUGAUUUUAGUAUGAAUGCAGGCACGUAUACUUUGUUAAAUAUUUUAUUAUUUAAAGGUAUAAACUCUUAGACAGAGUGUUUUAAUCCCAAUGUGUUUAUAGUUAGUAUAUCUUUUAUGGGUUGAUAUACUUAAUUCACUAUAAACAAUGCUCUGAUACCAAUCUGUCACACCCCAAAACCACAAACGGCGGAAACGUUCAGGGGUGGAGGACGUCAUGUACAGUAUCACAACAGUGUAAUAUAAUAAACAAGCAACAACAUCAUCCAUUGCAUUAUAAGUAAAGUUUUAAUACAUGUGUGUUCUUUCAUUGUAGUAAGACACCAAAAAUAUACAAUCAAAAUAAAAGACGAGACUUGUCUGCUCCUUCUUCUCAAAACCUGGCCAUCGUACCUGUCUACUGUUGACCUGAGAAUACAAGUUAUUUUGAAAGCGAGUAUCAGCUAUAAAGCUGGUGAAUUCAUAAGUAUUUAUGUGUUAUUGUCCUGUUUUGGAAUGUUGUUUAGAAUGUCGUAUAAAUCCUUAAAUAGAACAGUUGAUAUAAGUAUGAAAUGUGGUCUUCUACCAAGACCCGAAUGUUUAGUUAUGACAAAUUAAAAUGAUAGGUUUUCCCUUCUAUUGACUAGUGCUAAGAGUACUUAGUCUAACUCAUCGUUUAUGUGAAUAUAUCACAAAAUAAAGUAAAAUAGGAAAAUGAUAUGAUAGUCUUCUACCAAGACCUAAACGUUUUGUAAGUAAAAUGAUAGUUUUUCCUUUCUAUCGACUAGUACUAAAGUACUUAUUCUAACUCCUCAUUUAGGUGAGAGUAUCACAAAAUAAAGUAAACAGGAAAAAGUAUAAUCAUGUAAGUGUUAGCCGGAGGUAGUGGUGCUAACAAGUACUUAGUCUAACUACUUGUUUAUGUGAAGAUAUCACAAAAUAAAGUAAUAGGAAAUAUGUAAUAAUGUAAGUGUUAGCCAGAGGUACUGGUGCUAACAAGUACUUUGCGGUAAGCGAAAUAAAUAACCUAAUGAACCUCCGAAGAUGGUCCAAUUGUCCUCUGUAGCAGCAGCAGGUUGGAGGAAGGGUUAGUCCCGUAAAGGUACUCCUAGUAACAGGAAUAACCGUAGGCAUCCGUAGAUGUUCAUCACCCACUGUUGCUAAAAGAUGGGUUCCGGAAUGGUUAGUCCCCUACACAUAUCCUGAGGUACUAGGGAUAGGGGCCCGUCUAGGUAUCCCGAGGUACUAGGGAUAGGGUCCUGUCUAGAUAUCCCGAGGUACUAGGGAUAUGCAGGAAGAUUUACACAGAAGGUACUAAUAAAUCAUCCUCGCAAUUCGAGAUACAAGUAUUCAUAUUAAUAUACACUGGUAAAUGUCUCUAUGUAAAGGUACUCAUGUAAUGUGUUCAUGUAAGCAUAUUCAUGUAUCAUGUAAGCAUAUGUAAAUGUACUCUAGUAUCAGGUAAUGUACUGGUAUAGACUCAUGCAUGAACUGACUCUUGUGUGAUUCCUUGUAAUAGGAACAAUGUUUGAUAUCUACAAAUUAUCCCUAUGAUAAUUUACUGAAAGGUAAUUGGUUGUUCAAGUAGGUUUAUACACUCUUACUACUCAAGGGUGUGGGAAACUAAAUGAAAGAUGUAAACUAUCUCUAACAUAUAUAUGAACAUAUAUGUAUAAGUAUAGUUAGGUUCAAGAAGGUAAAAUUAAUGGUUUUGUAAGAUAUCUAAGAGUUUUGAACAAUAAUUAAUAGUGACUUGAUGUCAUUUUAAUAAACAUUUCAAAACUAAUACUUUUAUUAUUAAGGUAUUUUAAGAUAGAAAACCAUUUCAUGUGUCACCUUUUGAAAUAUGUGAAAUCUACUGAGUGAAAACACAGUUAUAAAAUACAUAAGAUUGAUUUAAUAACAUACUGUUUUCUACUUGUAUUCCCCCCCCCACCAUUUAAGAAUUUAAAAUCAUUUAAAACAUUGAUUAAGGGGUAUGAACUCACCUGUAGUUGGUAGUUUAGAUGAACUGGACGGUGUAGGAUUUGUUAGGCGUCAAGUGAGGACUUGUCCACACACUACAAUCCUAAUGAACAUAUAAUCACACAUAUAUGCACUCAAUUAGACUUAAAUUACUAAUUGAUAAUGUUAAAACAUCCUAGAACAUAGCAAACACUUUAUAUAAGUGUUUUAAGCCCUAAGGAUUGCAUCUAAGCUAUUGUGGGACAAGGCACUUGUGUUUAGGGUUCCAAAGGACCCCAUAUAUGAGUUUACUCCUCAUAUACCAUCACACAUGGAGUUUACGGUUGUAAACUCUUGAGUUUACGGCCGUAAACUCCCAACCAUGGGGGUAUUGUGUGUUUUGAAGUUCCAAAUGAUUCCUAGAAUUAUUCCAACUUGGUGGUUAAAUUCUUGGAAGGGUUUAAGGCCUAGAAACACUCCUUAGAGGAGUUUAUGGCCCCAAGGCCAUUUAAUUUGGAGUUUGCGGCCGUAAACUCCCUUGGAAUGGUGUUUUUGUUGCUUUCAAGUCUUUUCCAUAUGAAGGAUAGGUUCUAGACUUUUACCUAAAGCAUAUGAAGGCAUUAGGCACACUUUGGUGCCCUUCUUUCAUGUUUACGGCCCAAGAACCAUGUCUUGGCUGUAAACUCACUUUGGAAGGUGAUUUUGAUGUGUUUUGGUCCUUGGUUUAAGUGGGAACAAUUCCUAGUAAAGGUCCAAGGCUUUAGGUGUCAUAAAUGCACCAUUUGGUGCUUGAAUUUGGAGUUUACGGCCUAAGAAACUCUUGGGCCGUGAACUCCCAAGAACACCUUGGGGAGUAAACUCCUAAAUCUAGUGAUUUAGCCUUCGAAAUCAUGUUAUAACUACAUAUAAAGCUUUCCAACACUACUAGAAAGAGGUACUCACGAUUUGGGAUAAAAACCCGAAGAACCGUGAGCGAGAAAAUGGCUUUUCUCUAGUUGGAAAUGCGAAUAAUGAAUGAAUUUGGUUCAGAAUUCUAUUUAUAGUCCUGAGAUAUUUUUGGCAGAAAAUAUUUUUAUUCCUGAAAUGAUUUCUAAUAUAACCGAGUGUUGGAAUAACAGUGUUGCACAAAAACCUAGUGCAACCACUCUCCUGAUAUCUCCUUAAGUGUAAAUCCUGAAAAACUGUCAAACUUAUACCCGAUGUCUGGAAUUUCACUGAAACUGUUCUAUGCUCUAUUGUCUUGAUAUGGUUUGUUCAGAAUGGAAAUUUCGGGUUGUCACAUACACUUAUUAGUGAUGAGACACUGAUAAGUAUGGAUGAACCUAACAGUUAUGUGGAAGCCAUGGCAGGCCCUGAGUCAGCCAAGUGGAAAGUGGCAAUGGACAGUGAGAUACAGUCCAUGUAUGACAAUCAAGUUUAGAACUUGGUUGAGAAUGUACCAGGUCGUAAGACUGUAGGGUGCAAAUGGAUCUUCAAGAAGAAGACCGACAUGGAUGGUAAUGUACACACUUAUAAGGCACGACUGGUUGCAAAGGGUUUCUCACAAACUCCGGGAGUUGAUUAUGAUGAGACUUUUUCUCCAGUGGCC